rnacentral:rRNA from 1 species
UACGUAGGUGGCGAGCGUUGUCCGGAUUUACUGGGCGUAAAGGGAGCGUAGGCGGACUUUUAAGUGAGAUGUGAAAUACUCGGGCUCAACUUGAGUGCUGCAUUUCAAACUGGAAGUCUAGAGUGCAGGAGAGGAGAAUGGAAUUCCUAGUGUAGCGGUGAAAUGCGUAGAGAUUAGGAAGAACACCAGUGGCGAAGGCGAUUCUCUGGACUGUAACUGACGCUGAGGCUCGAAAGCGUGGGGAGCAAGCAGG